rnacentral:rRNA from 1 species
GACGAACGCUGGCGGCGUGCUUAACACAUGCAAGUCGAACGAUGAAGCCUAGCUUGCUAGGUGGAUUAGUGGCGAACGGGUGAGUAAUACGUGAGUGACCUACCUUUGACUCUGGGAUAAGCCUGGGAAACUGGGUCUAAUACCGGAUACGACCAAUCUCCGCAUGGGGUGUUGGUGGAAAGCGUUAUGGAGUGGUUUUAGAUGGGCUCACGGCCUAUCAGCUUGUUGGUGAGGUAAUGGCUUACCAAGGCGACGACGGGUAGCCGGCCUGAGAGGGUGACCGGCCACACUGGGACUGAGACACGGCCCAGACUCCUACGGGAGGCAGCAGUGGGGAAUAUUGCACAAUGGGCGCAAGCCUGAUGCAGCGACGCCCGCGUGAGGGAUGACGGCCUUUCGGGUUGUAAACCUCUGUUAGCAUCGAAGAAGCGAAAGUGACGGUAGGUGCAGAGAAAGCGCCGCUAAUACC